AUGCCGGCCACCAUGCCGCUAACCUUGUCCCCGGCCCGCCUCCUCCUCCUCCACCGCGGCCGCCAAGCCAAGGUCCAGCAGCCGCGCUCCCUCGCGCGGCUCCGCUGCGCCCCCGACGAGGUCGCGGCCACGACCGCCGAGCAGCAGCAGGGGGAGGAGGAGGAGCUGGUGCUCCUCGCCUCCUACCGCACCGCCUUCAACGAGGUCAUCAUGGUCAUCGACUCGCCCUCCAACCGCUACCUCGUCCUCGACCCCACCCAGAACAUCCACAGCAUUCUCCCCAAGAAGAGCGCCUGGACCAAUUCCUACUGGGAUGAGUGUGUCAGCCUACCUACCGUUGUUCCACGCGGCCCUGUUGCACUUCUAGGUUUGGGUGCUGGGACAGCAGCACACAUGAUGCUAGAAGUUUGGCCUUGGAUAGAACUUAUCGGAUGGGAGAUUGAUCCGACGGUAAUUGAAUUGUCGAGGGAUUAUUUUGGUAUGUCCACUUUAGAGAAGACCACGGAACUAGGUGGUUCACUUUCAGUGCAUAUUGGCGAUGCACUUUCCCCAUCGGCUACAGUCGAAGGAGGAUUUGCUGGUAUUGUUGUUGAUUUAUUUGCUGAUGGAAAAGUCUUACCUCAGCUACAGGAAGUUGAAACUUGGUUAGAGAUUGCGAAGAAGCUGAUGCCCGAUGGUCGAAUCAUGGUCAACUGCGGCGCUGGAGAUACCGCCGUAUCUCUUGCUGCCGACGGGGAUGUUUCCUCCUGGCUUCAGAAUCCCACAAUCAAGGCUCUAUGCUCUGCAUUUCCAGGCUAA
rnacentral:rRNA from 1 species